GCAGGUACAAAGACACCUCCCGUGCCUUCCCGGACAAAGGUAGUCUGUGGUGCUGAGGAGGCAAACAUCUUUGUUGAGUUCCAUGCACCAGCAUUGGGGCUCAUUGUGGACAAAAAAAAACAAGAGAUGCAAUCUCAAAAAGAUUUUAUUGGCCAGGGAUGUCCGCUGACAUAGAUUUAUAAUUACCUAUUUGUCUAAUUUCCUCUUAUCUAAAUGAAACUGGCUUUUCUAUUCUGAUACUUCCUGUGAAAAAAUAUGCAGAUGUUUUUGUGUUUGUUUUUAUAGUUGGUAAUUGCUAUUGAGAACUAUUGAAACACUUUUGAAAACUAUAGCUCUAUCAGUCCUAAUAUUUUUCCUCCUUCAAUCAGGUGUCACAAUGUGUACCUUGCCAGGCCAGCAUGACAUCUAUAAAACAGGAGGUGGAGUACACUCCAAUAGUGGUCACGCAGCCAUUUGAACUACUUGGGAUGGACCUUAUCGGCAAACUGACACAGACAGACAGCGGACACCAGUAUAUCUGUGUUAUGAUUGACCACCUCACUAAAUGGCCACAGGCAACAAAAUACUUCCCCAUCGACCUGAUGUUCGGUAGAGAGGCUUGCUACCCGUCAGAGGUUCCAGAACAUUACAGGGUUGGUGUACUUCAUUUUACAUUCUAAUUGAUUUGAGAAGUGUAGACUAUAUCUUUGUAAGUUUAAAUUAAUAUCAGAAAUGUAUGUUAUAGAUUGACAGCAGUGUCGAGGAGGUCUUAUUUUUUUAAUUUAUGCUGGUGUAACUGAAUCAGGUUUGUAGGCCUCCUUGCUCGCACACACUUUUAUUUCACCUUUAUUUAACCAGGUAGGCAAGUUGAGAACAAGUUCUCAUUUACAACUGCGACCUGGCCAAGAUAAAGCAAAGCAGUUCGACACAUACAACAACACAGAGUUACACAUGGAGUAAAACAAACAUACAGUCAAUAAUACAGUAGAAAAAUAAGUCUAUAUACAAUGUGAGCAAAUGAGGUGAGAUAAGGGAGGUAAAGGCAAUAAAUAGGCCAUGAAGUAAAUACAAUAUAGCAAGUAAAACACUGGAAUGGUAGAUUUGCAGUAGAUGAAUGUGCAAAGUAGAAAUACUGGGGUGCAAAGGAGCAAAAUAAAUAAAUAAAUAAAUACAGUAGGGGAAGAGGUAGUUGUUUGGGCUAUUUAUAGAUGGGCUAAGCAGUGGAAGAAGAUAUGCUGAAGCUCAAUGAGGUUCUCCAGACUGCCAUGGACAACACUGCUGAGGUCCAGAGUAAAUCCUCCAAAAAAACAAAAGGCACAGUGUCAAAACUUAAUGUGAGUGACAGAGUGUUGAGGGUAAAUAUCCGAAGCCAGCAGAGGAAAGGGGGCAAACUAGAUCCCAACUACCUCGGCCAUAAACGAUUCGAGGUCUCGAAGGGAAAAAUGUGGACGUGGAAGAUGACAAGGGGGUUAUCUUCCCUAAAAUAAGCAUGGAUCACCUGAGGCCUCAUGUAGAGGUUUCUCCUCAGUACCUCAUAAAAUAAAGUCAGCAGCCUCCAAAACCACCACACCAGCAGGUGCAGCCUCCACGGCCACCACACCAGCGGCCUCCACAGCCACCACGCCAGCAGGUGCAGUCUCCACAACCACCACACCAGCAGGUGCGGCCUCCAAAGCCACCACACCAGCAGCCUCCACCUACUCAGCCACCACACCAGCAGCAGCAGCUACUGAUAUAAACAAAUGUAUAUAUGUAAUCUUGUCAGGUUGAUCCAUUUAUAUAUCUCAGUACACCUACAGGUACAUUUCCAGGUGUUGCAGAGGCUUGGGGAUGAACAUAUGUAUACAGUUGAAGUCGGAAGUUUACAUACACCUUAGCCAAAUAUAUUUAAACUCAGUUUUUCACAAUUCCUGACAUUUAAUCCUAGUAAAAACUCCCUGUCUUAGGUCAGUGAGGAUCACCACUUUAUUUUAAGAAUGUGAAAUGUCAGAAUAAUAGUAGAGAGAAUGAUUUAUUUCAGAUUUGAUUUCUUUCAUCACAUUCCCAGUGGGUCAGAAGUUUACAUACACUCAAUUAGUAUUUGGUAGCAUUGCCUUUAAAUUAUUUAACUUCGGUCAAACAUUUCAGAUAGCCUUCCACAAGCUUCCCACAAUAAGUUGGGUGAAUGUUGGCCCAUUCCUCCUGAGAGAGCUGGUGUAACUGAAUCAGGUUUGUAGGCCUCCUUGCUCGCACACACUUUUUCAGUUCUGCCCACAAAUUUUCUAUAGGAUUGAGGUCAGGGCUUUGUGAUGGCCACUCCAAUACCUUGACUUUGUUGUCCUUAAGCCAUUUUGCCACAACUUUGGAAGUAUGCUUAGGGUCAUUGUCCAUUUGGAAAACCCAUCUGCGACCAAGCUUUAAC
rnacentral:lncRNA from 8 species